UCCCUUGUAGUCAUAUGGCUGUCUCAAAGAUUAAGCCAUGCAUGUCUAAGUAUAAGCAAUUAUACCGUGAAACUGCGAAUGGCUCAUUAAAUCAGUUAUCGUUUAUUUGAUAGUACCUUACUACUUGGAUAACCGUGGUAAUUCUAGAGCUAAUACAUGCUGAAAACCCCAACUUCGGGAGGGGUGUAUUUAUUAGAUAAAAAACCAACGCCCUUCGGGGCUUCUUGGUGAUUCAUGAUAACUUUACGGAUCGCAUGGCCUUGCGCCGGCGACGGUUCAUUCAAAUUUCUGCCCUAUCAACUUUCGAUGGUAAGGUAUUGGCUUACCAUGGUUUCAACGGGUAACGGGGAAUUAGGGUUCGAUUCCGGAGAGGGAGCCUGAGAAACGGCUACCACAUCCAAGGAAGGCAGCAGGCGCGCAAAUUACCCAAUCCCGACACGGGGAGGUAGUGACAAUAAAUACUGAUACAGGGCUCUUUUGGGUCUUGUAAUUGGAAUGAGUACAAUUUAAACCUCUUAACGAGGAACAAUUGGAGGGCAAGUCUGGUGCCAGCAGCCGCGGUAAUUCCAGCUCCAAUAGCGUAUAUUAAAGUUGUUGCAGUUAAAAAGCUCGUAGUUGAAUCUUGGGUCUGGCUGGCAGGUCCGCCUCACCGCGUGUACUUGUCCGGCCGGGCCUUCUUUCUGGAAAAUCUCAUG
rnacentral:rRNA from 1 species